rnacentral:lncRNA from 1 species
GGAUUGGUCCCACGGUGCGGAGUCGGUAGUAGCGGCAUCCCACGGACGUUCCGAGGCUUCUAGUUCGACCGGUCCUGCACGGAAGGAUGUGGUGCUUGGUGAAGCCUUCAGGGGCAUAGCCGCAGCACGAAGGGGCGCAAGUCCAAUCAUCCGGAAGUGUGUCGUGGGCUCGUUCGCGCGCUUGAAGUCGAGGUGCGGUCGUCUGUGACGCUAGCAACAAGGUGACUCGGUAGGCUUGUCCCUCGGAAAUGCGUUGGCUGUUGAGGCGCUGGAUUGGUCCCACGGUGCGGAGUCGGUAGUAGCGGCAUCCCACGGACGUUCCGAGGCUUCUAGUUCGACCGGUCCUGCACGGAAGGAUGUGGUGCUUGGUGAAGCCUUCAGGGGCAUAGCCGCAGCACGAAGGGGCGCAAGUCCAAUCAUCCGGAAGUGUGUCGUGGGCUCGUGUGCGCGCUUGAAGUCGAGGUGCGUCCCUCUGUGACGCUAGCAACAAUGUCCCUCGGUUAGGCUUGUCCCUCGGAAAUGUGUUGGCUGUUGAGGCGCUGGAUUGGUCCCACGGUGCGGAGUCGGUAGUAGCGGCAUCCCACGGACGUUCCGAGGCUUCUAGUUCGACCGGUCCUGCACGGAAGGAUGUGGUGCUUGGUGAAGCCUUCAGGGGCAUAGCCGCAGCACGAAGGGGCGCAAGUCCAAUCAUCCGGAAGUGUGUCGUGGGCUCGUGUGCGCGCUUGAAGUCGAGGUGCGUCCCUCUGUGACGCUAGCAACAAUGUCCCUCGGUUAGGCUUGUCCCUCGGAAAUGUGUUGGCUGUUGAGGCGCUGGAUUGGUCCCACGGUGCGGAGUCGGUAGUAGCGGCAUCCCACGGACGUUCCGAGGCUUCUAGUUCGACCGGUCCUGCACGGAAGGAUGUGGUGCUUGGUGAAGCCUUCAGGGGCAUAGCCGCAGCACGAAGGGGCGCAAGUCCAAUCAUCCGGAAGUGUGUCGUGGGCUCGUGUGCGCGCUUGAAGUCGAGGUGCGUCCCUCUGUGACGCUAGCAACAAUGUCCCUCGGUUAGGCUUGUCCCUCGGAAAUGUGUUGGCUGUUGAGGCGCUGGAUUGGUCCCACGGUGCGGAGUCGGUAGUAGCGGCAUCCCACGGACGUUCCGAGGCUUCUAGUUCGACCGGUCCUGCACGGAAGGAUGUGGUGCUUGGUGAAGCCUUCAGGGGCAUAGCCGCAGCACGAAGGGGCGCAAGUCCAAUCAUCCGGAAGUGUGUCGUGGGCUCGUUCGCGCGCUUGAAGUCGAGGUGCGGUCGUCUGUGACGCUAGCAACAAGGUGACUCGGUAGGCUUGUCCCUCGGAAAUGCGUUGGCUGUUGAGGCGCUGGAUUGGUCCCACGGUGCGGAGUCGGUAGUAGCGGCAUCCCACGGACGUUCCGAGGCUUCUAGUUCGACCGGUCCUGCACGGAAGGAUGUGGUGCUUGGUGAAGUCCUUAGGGGCGCAAGCCCAAUCAUCCGGAAGUGUGUCGUAGGCUGGUUUGGGCUCGUGUGCGCGCUUGAAGUCGAGGUGCGUCCCUCUGUGACGCUAGCAACAAUGUCCCUCGGUUAGGCUUGUCCCUCGGAAAUGUGUUGGCUGUUGAGGCGCUGGAUUGGUCCCACGGUGCGGAGUCGGUAGUAGCGGCAUCCCACGGACGUUCCGAGGCUUCUACUGUGACAGGUCCUGCACGGAAGGAUGUGGUGCUUGGUGAAGUCCUUAGGGGCUCAAGCGCAAUCAUCCGGAAGUGUGUUGUGGGCUGGUUUUCAUGGUCGAAGUCAAGGUGCGGUGGUGUGGGACGCACGCAACAAUGCGAUCAGUCGGUGUAGGCUUGUCCCACGGAAAUAUGUGCGCACCUCGGGAAAUAUGUUGCCUAUGAGACCCUUUUUGCCAUAGAAUGACGUGGUGUUAGGUGAUGCCCAGGGGGCUGAGCCUGUUCGUCGGAAGUGCGUUGUGGGAGGAUUUGGCAGUCGAAUAAAUUUUGACCCUUGAUCCCUAUCGGUUUUGGCGGUUACCUUUUCUCUUCGCGCCCGACGUAGCGGAUUCGGCGACACCAUGUGUUUCCAUUUGCUUGCUUGCCAUUGGCAUUGCGGGGAGUGGUCCGUGUGGUACCUUCGAGUCUGUCUAACGGGAGGGCGCGUGAGUGGCAAUUGGGAUGUUAGUGCUGUCUGGCUCCAUGAUCAUGGUCAUCGAACUUUCAGCACACAACCCUUCCCAUGUUCGCCUUGUGUCAUUUCGGCCCCGGCGUUCGAUUCUGGUUCUUGUGUUGCCUACCCGUUAAGUGGUAUUCAUGUGCCUCUCAUGACCCGUUCCAUCCAGGCCCCUUCUUGAGGUCGUUGGAGGAUUCGAAAGUGAUGCGUGUGAAGUGUUAGCUGUGAAUUGUGAUCGCAGUCCGACUCGAAAUUUUUGAUGUGUCCGUCUCACUUGUCGAGGUUCUGGUUUGGUGACUCGGUGACGGGUUGGGUAGUGGAGGGCGUUCUGAGGCUUCUAGUGUGACUGGUCCUGCACGGAAGGAUGUGGUGCUUGGUGAAGCCUUCAGGGGCACAGCCGCAGCACGAAGGGGCACAAGUCCAAUCAUCCGGAAGUGUGUCGUGGGCUGGUUCGCACGGUUGAAGUCGAGGUGCGGUCGUAUGUGACGCUAGCAACAAGGUGACUCGGUGGCUUGUCCCUCGGAAAUCUGUUGGUUGUUGAGGUGCUGGAUUGGUCCCACGGUGCGGAGUUGGUAGUUGCGGCAUCCCACGGACGCUCCGAGGCUUCUAGUGUGACAAGUCCUGCACGGAAGGAUGUGGUGCUUGGUGAAGCCCCUAGGGGUACAGCCGCUGCACGAAGGGGCGCAAGCCCAAUCAUCCGGAAGUGUGUCAAGGGCUGGUUCGCACGGUUGAAGUCAAGGUGCGUUCGUCUGUGACGCUAGCAACAAUGUGCCUCGGUUAGGCUUGUCCCUCGGAAAUGUGUUGGUUGUUGAGGUGAUGGAUUGGUCCCACGGUGCGGAGUUGGUAGUUGCGGCAUCCCACGAACGUUCCGAGGCUUCUAGUGUGACCAGUCCUGCACGGAAGGAUGUGGUGCUUGGUGAAGCCUUCAGGGGCAUAGCCGCAGCACGAAGGGGCGCAAGUCCAAUCAUCCGGAAGUGUGUCGUGGGCUCGUGUGCGCGCUUGAAGUCGAGGUGCGUCCCUCUGUGACGCUAGCAACAAUGUCCCUCGGUUAGGCUUGUCCCUCGGAAAUGUGUUGGCUGUUGAGGCGCUGGAUUGGUCCCACGGUGCGGAGUCGGUAGUAGCGGCAUCCCACGGACGUUCCGAGGCUUCUACUGUGACAGGUCCUGCACGGAAGGAUGUGGUGCUUGGUGAAGUCCUUAGGGGCUCAAGCGCAAUCAUCCGGAAGUGUGUUGUGGGCUGGUUUUCAUGGUCGAAGUCAAGGUGCGGUGGUGUGGGACGCACGCAACAAUGCGAUCAGUCGGUGUAGGCUUGUCCCACGGAAAUAUGUGCGCACCUCGGGAAAUGUGUGCGCACCUCGGGAAAUAUGUUGCCUGUGAGACCCUUUUCGCCAUGGAAGGACGUGGUGUUAGGUGAUGCCCUGAGGGCUGAGCCUGUUCGUCGGAAGUGCGUUGUGGGAGGAUUUGGCAGUCGGAUAAAUUUUGACCCUUUGUCCCUAUCGGUUUUGGCGGUUACCUUUUCUGUUCGCGCCCGACGUAGCGGAUCCGGCGGCACCAUGUGUUUCCAUUUGCUUGCUUGCCAUUGGCAUUGCGGGGAGUGGUCCGUGUGGUANUUAGUGCUGUCUGGCUCCAUGAUCAUGGUCAUCGAACUUUCAGCACACAACCCUUCCCAUGUUCGCCUUGUGUCAUUUCGGCCCG